UGAGCCUUUUGGUAAUUUAAUUACUUACAUUAUUGUUUUCCACAGGGAUAUCUAAUUGAACGCAACCCUGAGAGUGCUGCUGCCGCCAUAAAUCUUAUGCAUCAGGACCUCCCUGAUAAGCAGAAGGCACUUAUUGCUGAUGAACUUCAGAAGUUGGUAGUUGAAUGGACCAAGCAGGUUAUGAAAAAACGAAAGAAAGAAGACAGGGAGGAACUAGCUGAAGCCCUGAAGAAGGACAUUUCUGCAAUGGUCGCUUCCUUGUUAAACAUGGGGAUAAGUGCUAAUGUGAACGUAGAGGAGCUCAGGUGCUAAGUAGAGAAACAUUAAGCUAUUGUCGUGUGGCGGUUCCUAUGUUUAACACACACUGGCAAAAUUCUGGUGCUAAUGGUCGUGUGGCGGUUCCUAUGUGAAAGUCGAAGAUGAAAUGCAUAACGAUGAGUUAUUUGGCCAUUUCUUGGGAGCACCCUCCAGAUCCUGAGCAUUCAUAUCCUAUCAAUCAAUAUAGCAUUUGUUUUUGUUCCAAAUUUUCCGUGGGUAAAAUUAUCUUGUGAUUUAACAAUGAGUUGUUUAAGCCGUCUUUUCCAGAUUUAGCUUGAGAUGCAAAUCCGACAAAGCGAUAGGAUUUUUGAGAAUUGCAGCAGUUCACAUAAUAAAGUUGUAACAAACAUAAGCACUUACGGGUUCAUACGCGUUAAGAAUCCUCUAUUUUGCUCUUUGUGCAAACUCAAAUGUAUGUUUACAGCCAGAAGUUGAUUGAAUGGUAUACUGUGCUUUGGUUGAAGAAAGCCAUCACUCUUUACUCA